rnacentral:lncRNA from 1 species
CUGAGGAUGACAUGGCCCCUCCACUCCUGAGGCCAGCCCAGGCCCUACCCAUUUGGCCUUGGCACCUUUCUUACUCCUUGGUUCCCUUCCCAGUGGGCAGGUGGACAGAUAGACCCCCGGUCAUGCUGUGCCCGUGGCCCCAGGCCACUUGCUACCCAGAGAGGUGCACCCUGACCCUCAGCUCCCACUAUACUGGCUCCCGGCAGGUCAGCCUGCACAGCCCACAAGUGUGGUGCCUCCUGCCACCUGCUCACCCAGAGCUGGUCUUUCUUAGGGCCUGGUCUGUGGGAUGGGCCCCAAGUUCCUUUCUCCCCUUUACCUAUGGCCUUUGCCUAAUAGCCCAUAGUUUUCUGAGCUUCACUUGGAGCUCCUCCCUGCUUCCUGCUUAUUCCUGGGAGCCAUUCCUUCCCCUCCAUGCCUGCUUGGGAGGCCCCUGAGCUGAGCCUGUGCUCACAGCCCACACUUAGCACAAAACUGUCCUUGUGGCUGCUGUCACACGCUACCUACAAGCCAUGAGGGCUGGUGGCUUAACUCAGAAGAUGGUGUGGAGGUCUGGCAAGACCUCCUCCCACACCGGCUUCUGUUCAGGCUCUUACCAGGGAUCGUGGGGAGCCGAGGGAUGUCACAGGUACUCUCAGGGUUGGGUUGAGACCACAGCUGUGUCCCCUUUAGGCAGUUGGUCGGUCUACCCUGUCCCUUCAGUGUGAGAAGAGGCUGGCUGAUGAGCAGAGAGGAGGAAGGAAGAAGGUCAGGCUGGUCAGCCACCAGGAGAAGCCAGAAGCUGGUACACAGGAAGAGCGCAGCCAAGCUGUUCAUGGUGGCUGUGAAGCAGACACUGAGCCAAGCUAGCUUUGACACCUUUACCCAGGCCCUGAAGGUCUACAAGGGUUCCGGGAGACCUCAAAGCACUGAUGGACUGCCUCAGUUGCCUCUUUGCUGAAGACCCCAAGAAGCACACCCUGCUCCAAGGCUUCUACCAGUUUGUGCUGGCCCCACCACAAACAGCAGUUUAAGGACAUCUGCAUUCAGCUCACUGGUCAAGGCUGCAGUAGCUGGCCAGAGCCUGGCCUUUCCCACAGGCAGCAGGCACUGCCAGCCCUGGGGCCCAGUGGGAAGAGGGGUCCUGAGCCCACGCCUGACCCAAUCCAAGGAGGUGGCCAAGCAGCUAGAUCCUGGAGUGCACCUGAACCAGGGAGACACCCACAGCUGUCCAGAAGUGUGGUCCAGAGUAGAACAGGGCCAGUCUGCUGCGAGUGCCUAUCUGGCAGACAUCCGAAGAGGCCCUGGGCAAGGCAGCCCACAGACAGCUCCUGGCAGCACUGAAGGUGUACAAACAGGAUGACAACUUCGACAAGGUGCUUGCUGUGCUGGCUGCACUGACCACAGCACGGCCCGAGGACCUCCCCCCUGUUGCAAAGCAAGUGGCCCUGCUGGGGGGUUCAGCAUGUUCGUGCGUCCCCACCACAAGCAGCACUUCCUGCAGACCUGCGCAGACCUGAUGGGGCUGCCCGCCUUCGUGCAGAGAACUGGGCCCCCUGGAAGAGAGCCCCACCACACCUGAACUUUCCCAUGGGGCUCCCCAGUCAGGUCCUUCACUGUUGCAAAGACCCAGAAGGGUCCAGAGCAAGAUCUUUUCCUUCCUUAAACAGACUCCAGAUGAUGGUGAGGAGCCCAGCCUGCCCCCUGGGCUUCCUGACCAUGGGCUCUAGGACGUGUCCAGCCUGCUUUGCUGCCACGAGGAAGCAGAGCCUCACACAGGUCUUCUGGCCGAAGCACCAGUAAGCAUCCAUGGAGACACUGCAGGGCCCUGAUGUGGCUCCACACUGGCCUGUCCAGCCCUGCUGUGGGCCACGGGCCACCUCCCACAUUGCGACAUGGAGGCUGGCUUCCUGCUCGCUGCCAGGCCCACUGCGGGGCCUCAGGUGGGAGCUGUGGCUCGUGGGACCUGGAAGAUGUCCCUUUCCCCGAGAUUUCCGUGCCGCUGGCUUGUGAGUGCUGCUGCCUGAGCUGUGAGCCUGCUCUUAUUCAGGGACAGGGUUUAAUAAAAAGUGCGGACAGUGGCUACG